rnacentral:lncRNA from 1 species
AGUACUAAGUGGCAUGGACCACAAGUAUGGGGCCGGUUUGUUUAUCUAAAAAAGGCAGUGUGUAAUCUGAUCUUUUGCAAGGAUGGAUGACCGGAUCCAUAGGUGAUGGAUCAAGCUGUCUGAUCUGAUUGAUCAAAGGAUGCACCAGUGGUAAGAGGAGGACUGAUCGGCUUCGUUGGGACAUGGUUCCAUGGCCGGUUAGGUACAUGUGAAGACUCAUCAGUUCUGGGUCAUGUGGGGUGGUUGGUUGAUUGACUCAGGAUCUGAUGGGCGUUGUUAUUCCAUGAGCUGGACUUGAUAUCAUAAGUUGAUAAGGCAAAAGGAUGUGGGACAGUGCAUGAGCCGGCAAGGGCCAGAUGCAUGUCCUUAGCUGUUUGAAGACUUCUCAAGGGU